AUUGAACGCUGGCGGCAGGCCUAACACAUGCAAGUCGAGCGGAUGAAGGGAGCUUGCUCCUGGAUUCAGCGGCGGACGGGUGAGUAAUGCCUAGGAAUCUGCCUGGUAGUGGGGGAUAACGUCCGGAAACGGGCGCUAAUACCGCAUACGUCCUGAGGGAGAAAGUGGGGGAUCUUCGGACCUCACGCUAUCAGAUGAGCCUAGGUCGGAUUAGCUAGUUGGUGGGGUAAAGGCCUACCAAGGCGACGAUCCGUAACUGGUCUGAGAGGAUGAUCAGUCACACUGGAACUGGGACACGGUCCAGACUACUAAGGGAGGCAGCAGUGGGGAAUAUUGGACAAUGGGCGAAAGCCUGAUCCAGCCAUGCCGCGUGUGUGAAGAAGGUCUUCGGAUUGUAAAGCACUUUAAGUUGGGAGGAAGGGCAGUAAGUUAAUACCUUGCUGUUUUGACGUUACCAACAGAAUAAGCACCGGCUAACUUCGUG
rnacentral:rRNA from 1 species